UCGUCCUGCGCGGAAGAUGUAACGGGGCUCAAGCCAUGAACCGAAGCUGCGGAUGUGUCUUUGACACGUGGUAGGGGAGCGUUCCGUAAGCCUGCGAAGGUGUCUCGUAAGGGAUGCUGGAGGUAUCGGAAGUGCGAAUGCUGACAUGAGUAGCGAUAAAGGGUGUGAAAAGCACCCUCGCCGUAAGCCCAAGGUUUCCUGCGCAACGUUCAUCGGCGCAGGGUGAGUCGGCCCCUAAGGCGAGGCAGAAAUGCGUAGUCGAUGGGAAACAGGUCAAUAUUCCUGUACCGCUCUUAGAUGCGAUGGGGGGACGGAGAAGGUUAGCUCGGCCAUCUGUUGGAAUAGGUGGUUUAAGCGUGUAGUCGUGCCUGGUAGGCAAAUCCGCCGGGCUGAGAUGAGGCGUGAUGACGAGGCCUUUCGGAGCCGAAGCGAGUGAUACCCAGCUUCCAGGAAAAGCCUCUAAGCUUCAGUCUAAGAGUGACCGUACCGCAAACUGACACAGGUGGGCUGGUAGAGAAUACCAAGGCGCUUGAGAGAACUCAGGAGAAGGAACUCGGCAAAUUGAUACCGUAACUUCGGGAGAAGGUAUGCCCCUGGUACGUGAAGGCCCUCGCGGCCGGAGCGGAACGGGGUCGCAGAGAAUCGGUGGCUGCGACUGUUUAUUAAAAACACAGCACUCUGCAAACACGAAAGUGGACGUAUAGGGUGUGACGCCUGCCCGGUGCCGGAAGGUUAAGUGAUGGGGUGCAAGCUCUUGAUCGAAGCCCCGGUAAACGGCGGCCGUAACAAUAACGGUCCUAAGGUAGCGAAAUUCCUUGUCGGGUAAGUUCCGACCUGCACGAAUGGCGUAACGAUGGCCACACUGUCUCCUCCUGAGACUCAGCGAAGUUGAAAUGUUUGUGAAGAUGCAAUCUCCCCGCGGCUAGACGGAAAGACCCCAUGAACCUUUACUGUAGCUUUGCAUUGGACUUUGACGGGACUUGUGUAGGAUAGGUGGGAGGCUAUGAAACCGGGACGCCAGUUCCGGUGGAGCCAUCCUUGAAAUACCACCCUGGUGUCGUCGAGGUUCUAACCCAGGCCUGUGAAUCCAGGUCGGGGACCGUGCAUGGUGGGCAGUUUGACUGGGGCGGUCUCCUCCCAAAAGGUAACGGAGGAGUACGAAGGUCACCUAGGUACGGUCGGACAUCGUACUGAUAGUGCAAUGGCAAAAGGUGGCUUGACUGCGAGACCCACACGUCGAGCAGGUGCGAAAGCAGGUCAUAGUGAUCCGGUGGUUCUGUAUGGAAGGGCCAUCGCUCAACGGAUAAAAGGUACUCUGGGGAUAACAGGCUGAUUCCGCCCAAAAGU
rnacentral:rRNA from 1 species